rnacentral:rRNA from 1 species
GACGAACGCUGGCGGCGUGCUUAACACAUGCAAGUCGAACGGAAAGGCCCUGCUUUUGUGGGGUGCUCGAGUGGCGAACGGGUGAGUAACACGUGAGUAACCUGCCCUUGACUUUGGGAUAACUUCAGGAAACUGGGGCUAAUACCGGAUAGGAGCUCCUGCUGCAUGGUGGGGGUUGGAAAGUUUCGGCGGUUGGGGAUGGACUCGCGGCUUAUCAGCUAGUUGGUGGGGUAGUGGCUUACCAAGGCUUUGACGGGUAGCCGGCCUGAGAGGGUGACCGGCCACAUUGGGACUGAGAUACGGCCCAGACUCCUACGGGAGGCAGCAGUGGGGAAUAUUGCACAAUGGGCGGAAGCCUGAUGCAGCAACGCCGCGUGCGGGAUGACGGCCUUCGGGUUGUAAACCGCUUUCGCCUGUGACGAAGCGUGAGUGACGGUAAUGGGUAAAGAAGCACCGGCUAACUACGUGCCAGCAGCCGCGGUGAUACGUAGGGUGCGAGCGUUGUCCGGAUUUAUUGGGCGUAAAGGGCUCGUAGGUGGUUGAUCGCGUCGGAAGUGUAAUCUUGGGGCUUAACCCUGAGCGUGCUUUCGAUACGGGUUGACUUGAGGAAGGUAGGGGAGAAUGGAAUUCCUGGUGGAGCGGUGGAAUGCGCAGAUAUCAGGAGGAACACCAGUGGCGAAGGCGGUUCUCUGGGCCUUUCCUGACGCUGAGGAGCGAAAGCGUGGGGAGCGAACAGGCUUAGAUACCCUGGUAGUCCACGCUGUAAACGGUGGGUACUAGGUGUGGGGUCCAUUCCACGGGUUCCGUGCCGUAGCUAACGCUUUAAGUACCCCGCCUGGGGAGUACGGCCGCAAGGCUAAAACUCAAAGGAAUUGACGGGGCCCCGCACAAGCGGCGGAGCAUGCGGAUUAAUUCGAUGCAACGCGUAGAACCUUACCUGGGUUUGACAUGGAUCGGGAGUGCUCAGAGAUGGGUGUGCCUCUUUUGGGGUCGGUUCACAGGUGGUGCAUGCCUGUCGUCAGCUCGUGUCGUGAGAUGUUGGGUUAAGUCCCGCAACGAGCGCAACCCUUGUUCACUGUUGCCAGCACGUUAUGGUGGGGACUCAGUGGAGACCGCCGGGGUCAACUCGGAGGAAGGUGGGGAUGACGUCAAGUCAUCAUGCCCCUUAUGUCCAGGGCUUCACGCAUGCUACAAUGGCUGGUACAGAGAGUGGCGAGCCUGUGAGGGUGAGCGAAUCUCGGAAAGCCGGUCUCAGUUCGGAUUGGGGUCUGCAACUCGACCUCAUGAAGUCGGAGUCGCUAGUAAUCGCAGAUCAGCAACGCUGCGGUGAAUACGUUCCCGGG